CGUAGGGUGCGAGCGUUAAUCGGAAUUACUGGGCGUAAAGCGUGCGCAGGCGGCUUUGUAAGACAGGCGUGAAAUCCCCGGGCUCAACCUGGGAACUGCGCUUGUGACUGCAAGGCUAGAGUACGGCAGAGGGGGUGGAAUUCCACGUGUAGCAGUGAAGUGCGUAGAGAUGUGGAGGAACACCAAUGGCGAAGGCAGCCCCCUGGGUCGAUACUGACGCUCAUGCACGAAAGCGUGGGUAGCAAACAGGAUUAGAUACCCUGGUAGUCCACGCCCUAAACGAUGUCGACUAGGUGUUGGGUGGGUAAAACCAUUUAGUACCGGAGCUAACGCGUGAAGUUGACCGCCUGGGGAGUACGGCCGCAAGGUUA
rnacentral:rRNA from 1 species